UACGAAGGGGGCUAGCGUUGCUCGGAAUUACUGGGCGUAAAGGGAGCGUAGGCGGAUAGUUUAGUCAGAGGUGAAAGCCCAGGGCUCAACCUUGGAAUUGCCUUUGAUACUGGCUAUCUUGAGUAUGGAAGAGGUAUGUGGAACUCCGAGUGUAGAGGUGAAAUUCGUAGAUAUUCGGAAGAACACCAGUGGCGAAGGCGACAUACUGGUCCAUUACUGACGCUGAGGCUCGAAAGCGUGGGGAGCAAACAGG
rnacentral:rRNA from 3 species